rnacentral:rRNA from 1 species
GAUGAACGCUGGCGGCGUGCCUAAUACAUGCAAGUCGAGCGAACAGACGAGGAGCUUGCUCCUUUGACGUUAGCGGCGGACGGGUGAGUAACACGUAGGUAACCUACCUAUAAGACUGGGAUAACUUCGGGAAACCGGAGCUAAUACCGGAUAAUAUUUCGAACCGCAUGGUUCGAUAGUGAAAGAUGGCUUUGCUAUCACUUAUAGAUGGACCUGCGCCGUAUUAGCUAGUUGGUAAGGUAACGGCUUACCAAGGCAACGAUACGUAGCCGACCUGAGAGGGGGACAGGCCACACUGGAACUGAGACACGGUCCAGACUCCUACGGGAGGAAGCAGUAGGGAAUCUUCCGAAAUGGGCGAAAGCCUGACGGAGCAACGCCGCGUGAGUGAUGAAGGUCUUCGGAUCGUAAAACUCUGUUAUUAGGGAAGAACAAACGUGUAAGUAACUGUGCACGUCUUGACGGUACCUAAUCAGAAAGCCACGGCUAACUACGUG